UACGUAGGGUGCAAGCGUUGUCCGGAAUUAUUGGGCGUAAAGAGCUCGUAGGCGGUCUGUCGCGUCUGCUGUGAAAACUCGGGGCUUAACCCCGGGCCUGCAGUGGGUACGGGCAGACUAGAGUGCGGUAGGGGAGACUGGAAUUCCUGGUGUAGCGGUGAAAUGCGCAGAUAUCAGGAGGAACACCGGUGGCGAAGGCGGGUCUCUGGUACGGCACUGACGCUGAGACGCGAAAGCGUGGGGAGCAAACAGG
rnacentral:rRNA from 1 species